AUCUGUUCAGUUUGAUCGUUAUAGAUACAGCUUCAACUACUCCAUUCCCUCGUUAAUCCUAGUCCCACCUGCACGGCAUGCACGACCACCAUAACCGUAACCAUAGGCAUAACCACACCUGAACCGCGCUGACAUGGCUUUAACUUGGCCGAAUCUGCUUCAGUUUCGUUCUCAACCUUCGCUUGGACCCGCCAACUACGUCUUCUUCUCCGAUGUAGAACCGUCAUGCACCGAUACUCUCACUCUACUCCGCCGGUGCAAGGUCUCAGUUCUAUCUCCGCCGGCGCUGAAACCUGUGAAAUGCCUCAGCAGAUCCACGGAGGAGAAGCAGUGGAGCGACUCCGAAACCGCCAUAUCUGACUCGGAUAAAGUUGCAGAUGAACCAAAUGACCGGUCUCGGAACCGAGCUUCCGUUCCGGCAAACGGUCGCGUUGAGUCUCACAGGAUAGUCACCACCUCUUCCGGCGAUUCUCUCUCUCUCGGAAUUCGAGAACCGGUUUAUGAAGUUGUUGAAGUGAAGUCUAAUGGGACAAUGUCGACUAGAAAAAUCAACAGGAGACAAUUGUUGAAGUCAAGUGGUCUUCGUCCACGGGACAUUCGAAGUGUGGAUCCAUCAUUGUUUUUGACAAAUUCAAUGCCUUCUUUGCUGGUCCGGGAGUAUGCUAUACUUCUAAAUCUGGGUUCCCUACGAGCAAUAGCAAUGCAAGAUUGUGUACUUAUAUUCGACUAUAAUUGUACAGGAGGGCAAGCUUUUCUAGAGACAUUGCUACCUCGAUUGAACCCCAAGAGUAACAAUGGAGGACCAUCAAUGCCAUUUGAAAUUGAGGUUGUUGAAGCAGCAUUGCUUUCAAGAAUUCAGCGUUUGGAGCAGAGAUUGAUGAACUUAGAACCUCGUGUACAAGCUCUUCUUGAGGCAUUGCCAAAUCGGUUAACUGGUGACAUAUUGGAGCAACUUCGUAUUAGCAAACAAACUUUGGUUGAGUUAGGUUCUAGGGCAGGAGCUCUCAGACAAAUGCUGCUCGACCUGUUGGAGGAUCCCCAUGAAAUACGCCGUAUAUGUAUCAUGGGAAGAAACUGUACACUUAAUAAAGGAAACAAUGAUAUGGAAUGCUCAGUGCCCGUAGAAAAGCAGAUUGCUGAGGAGGAGGAGGAGGAAAUUGAGAUGCUUCUGGAAAAUUAUCUUCAAAGUACACCAUACCAUACAGCAUUAUUACAUGCCCUUAUGGAAAUUUAAGAAGGCGAGAUCCCAGAAUUAACAUAGCAGAAACAAGUUGAAAUCAAGAAUCUCAAACCUUUUGCCUACCAUUAAUAUUCAUAAACAACAAGACUUCAUUUUGCAAUCUCAUGGAUAUCUAAAAGGCUCUAAGGCUUUACGUUUAGAUGUUUCACAUUGGUUAAGAAUAUAGUCAAAAGUGUUUCUUAUAAAACUGGGACAAUCCUCCCUCCUUCAACUGUUUUGAGUUGUGUUAGGCCUAGUCCAUUUCAAAUACUCUAAUCUAUUUUACAAUAUCUUAAAGGUAUCUUCAUUUCAAAACAAGUCUCAUAAAGGUUUCAAACUCCACAGUUAGUUGAUGAUUCUAGCAAAUGCUUAGUUACUGUUCUUUGUAAGUUUAACAUUUUUGUUGAUUUUGUCCCAAAAUUGAUUUCUCUAAAUGCGUUUGCAGAUGUGAAUCUUGUCAUGGCCAAGCUGAAAGGCUUCUAGAUUCUGCAAGGGAAAUGGAAGAUUCUAUAGCUGUCAGUUUGAGUUCACGAAGGCUUGAGGUUAGCAGAGUGGAACUGCUUCUCCAGGUUGGAACAUUCUGUGUGGCAGUAGGUGCCCUUGUGGCAGGUAUCUUUGGCAUGAACCUAAAGUCCUAUCUUGAGGAACAUGUGUUUGCAUUUUGGCUUACAACAGCUGGGAUAAUCAUUGGUGGUGUCAUUGCUUUUUUUCUUAUGUAUUCCUACCUUAGGGCUAGGAAAAUAUUUUGAUCAAGGCUUCUAAUGACCUUCUGAGGUUUAGUAAUCCGAAACUGAAGGGAAUCUAAUUCAUUCUUCAGGUGAUGUCAGGCUGUGUAGAAAAGUUAGCACCCAACAAAUGCAUGAUUGAUUGUACACCGGGGGGGGGGGGGGGGGGGGGGGAGAGAUCAACAUCCAAAAUGGGUCAUGAUGGUACUCGCAUCACUGAGCUGUUAUAAGCAUUAGUUUUUGUUCUUGUUUCGGUGGGGGUAUACAUUUUUUUUUUUUAGUUUCAUGAGCUCAUAGUAUGGCCAUGAUAGUCAACUGGAUUAUCCGCCAUCAAGAGAUCAUAUUGGCUGUUGUAUUUUUGGCGGUGUGCUGUGUAUACUAAAAUAUUAUUUAACUUUCACUGUAACGCGCAAUCUUU